rnacentral:lncRNA from 1 species
AAGAGUUGAAUUACUCUAUUGAAUUGUGAAAUUGCAUUGAAAUAGUGUUUUUGAGAAAACUGACUUCGAUAAUGCACUUUUGCAGGAUAGAAGUCCGAAUGUGAAAUUGACAGCUUACAAACCAAAUUGGGGGUAAAAGAAACUCGCUGGCGAAGUAGGCUCGGCAAUCCAUCGCUCCUACGCAAUGAUAUCGCCAAAAGAAGAUUUUCGGCGUCAAUAGUCACGAGCGCGGGUCGCGGUUCUCGGGAAAGCGCUAGAGACGCAUUUCUCUCAUUCCAGAAUCAAAUAAAGGUGGGUUGUGCUUACCGAAGUGAUUAGGUCACUUCCAUGCCAAAGUAAAAUAUGGUUUCAUUUGACGCAUAAAUGAAUAUGAAUGCUAAAUACACAUGAGUUGGCAUGUAUGAAUAUGGGCAUAUGUUAAUGCUAGAUGACUUAUAAUGAUUCUCAUAUAAAUAUGAAUGCUAGGUGCACAUGGACAUGAAAGCUAGACAUAGUUAUGCUAGACGGAUAGUUAUGAAUGUGAAUACAUAUAAUUGUCGAUAUAUGAAUGUGAAAACUAGACGCAUAGUAUGCUAAAUUCAUAUAAUCAAAUAUAUGAUAUAUAAAUGUUGAACUUGUAAACGCCAAGGGCAUGUAAGUUGAAUGUGAAAUGUGAAAUGUGAAAUGUGACAUGUGAACAUAGAGGUUAAAGCAUAUGUAGUUAUCGACAUGUGAAAGCGAAUAGUUGAUGCCUAUAUCUAAACGUAUAUGAAAGUGAAUGUACUAUAGUUCGAGCUAUAUGAAAGUCGAUAAUUCCAGUUGAUUAGAGACCUCGAUAGUAACAAGACAAGCGAGAAUAUGUAAAUUAGAAUCCUAGGAAUGAACAACUAGGAUGAUACAUAGAUCGAGUGGUAUGACCUAGUGGUAGUAAACAUAGGUCGGACAUGAACCUAGUGUCAUUGGACAUAGGUCAAGUAAAUAAACCUAGAGUCGAGUUCUAGGUGAAAAUGAUAUAGAACCUAGCAAGUGAACCUAGGUUAUGAUGUAUAAUGAGACUUAGUACAUUUAAACUAAGUUGUGGAUUUUAGUGGUAUAGUGACCACUAGGAAAGGAUUAGUUUCGACCAGGAGGGUCGUCAACAUAGGGUAAAGUGAGUAAACCCUCAAGUUGUGAAAGUGAAUUCCGGAAUCCCAAGAUCUGUGAUGACCUUGGUAUCAAGGCUAGGGCGUGUGCGACGAUUUCGCCGCCGGAUGGUUAGCCAGUUUGUGGAUCCUACCGCCUGUUGACUGAACCACUGUCGUGGCGUGUGCGACGAUUUCGCCGCCGGGUGGCUAAGUCAUAGACCUAGGCUGUUGUUGGGUGAGGUGCGAUUUGUUCGCCGCCAGACAGCUAGGACAGGAGUACGGUGAGCUGUUGCCAGCUGAGGUGCAUGUGAGAGUUCCUUCACCUCGAGCUAGACAUUGCGCAGACUAUCCGCGAUUGAUUGACUCAAGACCGAGUCUG